ACUGGGCACAGUGGUGUAUGCCUGUAAUCCAAGCGGCUUGGGAGGCUGAGGUAGGGGAUUGCAAGUUCAAAGCCAGUCUCAGCAAAAGCAAGGUGCUAAGUGACUCAGUGAGACCCUGUCUCUA
rnacentral:sRNA from 1 species